ensembl:misc_RNA Y_RNA Y RNA
GGCUGGCUUGAUGGUAGUGAGUUAUCUCAACUGAUUGUUCAGUCAGUUACAGAUGGAACUCCUUGUUCCACUCUUUCCUCCCUUUCCACGACUACACUUGACUAAUCUUAA